ACAAUUACUAUAUAUAGAUUAAAAUGUUGGUGGGGAAUUGAAUGAUAUGUGUGGCCUUACCGCACCCACCCACCCUAAGGAGUAAAAGGAGGAAUCCCUAAGGACUAAAGGAGUGUUGAUGAUAUACUAUCCGACCCGUUUGUGAGACGACCCGACAUGAACAUGUGUACUUUAUUAAAUGGGUAUAAAAGUUUUUGGAACUAUG
rnacentral:lncRNA from 1 species